UACGGAGGGUGCAAGCGUUAUCCGGAUUCACUGGGUUUAAAGGGCGCGUAGGUGGGCAAGUAAGUCAGUGGUGAAAUCUCCGGGCUUAACCCGGAAACUGCCAUUGAUACUAUUUGUCUUGAAUACUGUGGAGGUCAGCGGAAUAUGUCAUGUAGCGGUGAAAUGCUUAGAUAUGACAUAGAACACCAAUUGCGAAGGCAGCUGGCUGCACAAAUAUUGACACUGAGGCACGAAAGCGUGGGGAGCAAACAGG
rnacentral:rRNA from 1 species